rnacentral:rRNA from 1 species
UACGUAGGGUGCGAGCGUUGUCCGGAAUUACUGGGCGUAAAGGGCGCGCAGGCUGUUAUGCGAGUCUGCUGUGAAAUGUACCGGCUCAACCGGUGCCUUGCGGCGGAUACUGCAUAGCUGGAGUACUGGAGAGGGAAGUGGAAUACCCGGUGUAGCGGUGAAAUGCGUAGAUAUCGGGAGGAACACCGGUGGCGAAGGCGGCUUUCUGGCCAGUUACUGACGCUCAUGCGCGAAAGCUGGGGUAGCGAACCGGAUUAGAUA